GUUUCCCAACCUGUGAUGAACCUGAGUUGGGUUUGUAUCCUGAGUGGGAACUGACUGAAUACAAUUAGCACCAACAUGACCAGUGCGCAGCUGAAGCUCGUCUCUGAUGACAUGAGGGCAGGAGGAGCGGGAGAAACACGUUCACGGCUGUGGGUGACGUCAUUAACGAACAAGCCAGAGUGCGGCGCUUGCUGGAGAGAACACAGGAGUGGAGCAGAAAUCUUCGGACGACUAAAUCAUUUUAAACGUUUUUAGGACAAAUCUACGAUUUUAACACAAGUUUUGUGGAGGGUCUGUUGCUGUUCAAUCGGAAAAUUAAAAGUUUGGAUGACUGUUGUUGAGGAAAUGCAAAAUUUGCACGAGUUACGUCAAGCCUACACAAUAACUAAAGCGAAUGAGGAGCCUCCGUGCGAGAACCAGCAGACUGAGAGACAGCUUCAUUCGCCAAGCCAUCAGGAUGCCAAACUAUCAAAGUGUUUUUUCUCGAUAAACCCAGUAAAAGGAACCAAAGUAGAGAAUUAAAACUCCAAGCGUCGUCUCAACAUGAACCCACGAGUCCUCACCCUGAUACAGGAACUCUCCGAUCACGAGUGGCGUUAAGCCUAAAUAUGGACUCUUUCUGUGGACUCUCGCUGUUUGUUUGAGAAGAGGUAGUGUUUUUGCUUUGUUAAAUCCACAAUGUGCUAGAUAGCAUAUCUUGACAUUUUGAUCCAAGACUAUUUGGAGUUGAUUAAGAUGUUUCCUGAAAUUCAACUAAAUUCAAGCACCACUAUUUGUUCCAUUAUUCAGCACUGUUCUUGAAGUUUGGUCCAUUGAUUAGGUUAUGGAUGCUUAGUUUUGAGAGCACUUAAGGCACAAUAUGUAAUUUUUGUUUAACAGUCUUAAUGGUGCACUAUGUAACUUUUUCUGGUAGAGGGUCUGCCACCUGCUUGUUUCAUGAAGAUGUUCUUUCUUUGCAGGAAUGAUCCACAGUAAGGUAUAAAACGUAUCUUGCAUUUAUUCAAUUAGAACUGUUUUUAUUGCAAACAAAUACCUUAACAAACGUGCAUUCUUACUGUGAGGGGGCUCACCUCUCCACAGAUCUGACCUGUAACUUGGCCUGUUGGCAUCACCUGAUUGUUGUUUGAAAAAAAAAAAGCAUCCACUUAUGACGAUUGCUGUUAAAUAAAUGUCCCAAAAGUGA